AUUGAACGCUGGCGGCAUGCCUAACACAUGCAAGUCGAACGGAAACGAUGCUAGCUUGCUAGCAGGCGUCGAGUGGCGGACGGGUGAGUAAUGUAUAGGGAUCUGCCUAGUAGUGGGGGACAACAUGUGGAAACGCAUGCUAAUACCGCAUACGCUCUACGGAGGAAAGUGGGGGACCUUUCGGGGCCUCAUGCUACUAGAUGAACCUAUAUUGGAUUAGCUUGUUGGUAAGGUAAUGGCUUACCAAGGCGACGAUCCAUAGCUGGUUUGAGAGAAUGAUCAGCCACACUGGGACUGAGACACGGCCCAGACUCCUACGGGAGGCAGCAGUGGGGAAUAUUGCACAAUGGACGAAAGUCUGAUGCAGCAAUGCCGCGUGUGUGAAGAAGGCCUUAGGGUUGUAAAGCACUUUCAGACGUGAGGAAAAGUAAUAAUUUAAUAAAUUAUUACCUUGACGUUAACGUCAGAAGAAGGACCGGCUAACUCCGUGCCAGCAGCCGCGGUAAUACGGAGGGUCCAAGCGUUAAUCGGAAUUACUGGGCGUAAAGCGCGCGUAGGCGGAUAUUUAAGUCAGAUGUGAAAUCCCUGGGCUCAACCUAGGAACUGCAUUUGAUACUGGAUAUCUAGAGUAUGGUAGAGGUGAGUGGAAUUUCAGGUGUAGCGGUGAAAUGCGUAGAGAUCUGAAGGAACAUCAGUGGCGAAAGCGACUCACUGGGCCAUUACUGACGCUGAGGUGCGAAAGCGUGGGUAGCAAACAGGAUUAGAUACCCUGGUAGUCCACGCCCUAAACGAUGUCAACUAGGUGUAUGGGAGUUUAACUCCUGUGUAUCGAAGCUAACGCGAUAAG
rnacentral:rRNA from 1 species